rnacentral:lncRNA from 1 species
CUGCAGGAGCGCGGAGGCGAGGGGCACGCCGGCGAUCCGGGCGCGGGGAGGGGAACGCAGGCCUGGCCCGGGGCUGCCCCAGCGCAUCACGUGGGAGCGGCCUGGGCGCGGUGGAGACCCGAAACUCCCGGAGCUCGGAGCAAGAGCGGGCCGCGGGGGCCUCGAACUCGGAGCGGGUGGGGCCCCUGGAGACGAGACGACGCCUCCGCUUGGCUCGGCGGCUGGAGCCCGGGAGAGAGGCCGCGCCCGGGCGCCCUCGGCCGCGUGGUGCCCACCGCGCGCUGCGCCCACACCAUGCCCGUGUCCGACCAGGCGUUUGUCACGCUGGCCACCAACGACGUGUACUGCCAGGGGGCCUUGGUGCUGGGGCAGUCACUCCGGGAGCACGGGGCCACCAGGAGGCUGGUGGUGCUGCUCACGCCUCAGGUGUCCACCCCGCUCAGGGUUAUCCUCUCAAGGGUGUUCGAUGAGGUCAUCGAGGUGAACCUCAUAGACAGCGCGGACUACGUCCACCUGGCCUUUCUGAAGAGACCUGACCUCGGAAUCACCCUCACCAAGCUUCACUGCUGGACGCUCACCCAUUACAGCAAAUGCGUCUUCCUGGAUGCAGACACAUUGGUGCUGUCCAACAUCGAUGAGCUGUUCGACAGGAGGGAGUUUUCUGCGGCCCCGGAUCCCGGGUGGCCGGAUUGCUUCAAUAGCGGGGUGUUUGUCUUCCAACCCUCGCUGGAGACGCACAGCCUCUUGCUACAGCACGCCGUUGAGCACGGCAGCUUUGAUGGGGCAGACCAAGGCUUGCUGAACAGUUUCUUCAGUAACUGGUCCACCGCCGACAUCCAGAAACACUUGCCCUUCAUCUAUAACUUGAGCAGCAACACCACGUACACCUACAGCCCUGCUUUCAAACAAUUCGGCUCCAGUGCGAAGGUGGUCCACUUUCUGGGGUCCUCGAAGCCUUGGAACUACAAGUACAAUCCCCAGACGGGCUCCGUUUUGGAGGAGGGCUCCGGGCCGGCCGACCAGCCUCAGACGUCCUUCCUAAACCAGUGGUGGGGAAUUUACCACCGUAGCAUCUUGCCCCUUUGUGAAAAUAUCCGGAACAAGGACCACCAGGCGCCCCCAGGUCACACGGCUCGCCUUGGAGGCAUCGGGGUGCCGCGUUCCAGUGUAGCAGCCACAGCAGAGGGGUCGUGUGCGAAUCCAGCAGAGGGGCCCCGGCAGGCUAGCUCUGCUGACAGCUCGGAGAGGACCGUGGGGGUGGAGGGAGACAUCCCCACUCUGGCAGCGUGCCCUUCCGAAGAGACGGUAGGUUGUCGAGAAAUAGAGACUCGAGGUGAAGUGCGACGUGACCUGUUCUCAACACCCUCCCCCCAGUUUGCAGACCUCACAGAGAUCCAAAGCUGUUCGCGGCGGGCGGAGAACGAAGGAGGUGCCCCAGCCGAGGACGCCUUGGAACCGAGCCGGGAGCCCCCUGCGGAUGUCAGCAGGGACCCCAGUCCCCAGGACGCUCUGGAGGUGGACCUGACCAUUUCCGUCUCCCAGAUCUCCAUCGAAGAGAAGCUCAAGGUCCUGAGUCCCGAGGAGGAGCGGAGGAAGUGGGAGGAGGGGCGCAUGGAUUACCUGGGGAAGGAUGCCUUUGCCCGCAUUCAGGAAAAGCUGGACCGCUUCCUGCAGUGACCGCGCUGUCCUGUUCCAUCCACGUCCCAAAGCCCUUUCCAAGGAGCUCUUCACCCACGUGCCUCUGUUUACAGUCAGCCCUCCUGAGUGCCUUCUGCCCACCCUGUGGUCCAUCCGAAACCCAGCUUGAAGCCCCGUGUGACCCCACCUCCCCAUGCCUCUCAGGCUUCCCCGGGGACGUCCUGUCUGCUUUAUGUCUUGUUAGCAAAUCACUGAGGAUGGUGACUGCAGCCAUGAAAUUAAAACACACUUGCUCCUUGGAAGAACAGCUGUGACCAACCUAGACAGUGUAUUAAAAAGCAGAGACAUCACUUUGCCCACAAAGGUCCGUCUAAGUCAUAGCUAUGGUUUUUCCAGUGGUCAUGUAUGGAUGUGAGAGUUAGACCAUAAAGAAAACCGAGCGCCAAGUUGAUGCUUUUGAACUGUGGUGUUGGAGAAGACUCUUGAGAGUCCCUUGGACUGCAAGGAGAUCCAACCAGUCCAUCCUAAAGGAAAUCAGUCCUGAAUAUUUAUUGGAAGGACUGAUGUUGAAGCUGAAACUCCAAUACUUUGGCCACCUGAUGCGAAGAACUGACUCAUUUGAAAAGACUCUGAUGCUGGGAAAGAUUGAGGGCAGGAGGAGAAGGGGACAACAGAGGAUGAGAUGGUUGGAUGGCAUCACCGAUUCAAUGGACAUGGGUUUGGGUAAACUCUGGGAGUUGGUGACGGACAGGGAGGCCUGGCGUGUUGCAAUCCACGGGGUGGCAAAAAGUCGGACACGACUCAGCAGCUGAACAGCAGCAAAAGAGAACAUGAGUAUAGCUUCUGGUCAACCCUGGGUCUCUGGACUUGCUUGAAGGAGCUCAGGAUUUUCUCCCGGACUGAUGAAACCACGUCUGUCCUAUGUAGGAUUACCUUGAAGCACUGCAGAGCUUCAAACACGUAGCACUCAGAAAGGUAUUGAGCUCCCUGAGAACCUUCAGAAUGAUUAAGUCCUUUUCUUGAAGACGGGGUCUACGUC